UACGAAGGACCCGAGCGUUAUCCGGAUUUAUUGGGUUUAAAGGGUGCGUAGGCGGAUUAAUAAGUCAGUGGUGAAAGCCCAUCGCUUAACGAUGGAAUUGCCAUUGAUACUGUUAAUCUUGAGUAUGGUUGAGGUGGGCGGAAUGUGUCAUGUAGCGGUGAAAUGCUUAGAUAUGACACAGAACACCAAUUGCGAAGGCAGCUCGCUAAACCAUAACUGACGCUGAGGCACGAAAGCGUGGGUAGCAAACAGG
rnacentral:rRNA from 1 species